UACGUAGGGGGCAAGCGUUGUCCGGAAUCAUUGGGCGUAAAGCGCGUGUAGGCGGCCCGGUAAGUCCGCUGUGAAAGUCGGGGGCUCAACCCUCGAAUGCCGGUGGAUACUGUCGGGCUAGAGUGCGGGAGAGGCGAGUGGAAUCCUGGUGUAGCGGUGAAUGACGCAGAUAUCAGGAGGAACACCAAUUGCGAAGGCAGCUCGCUGGAACGUAACUGACGCUGGAGACGCGAAA
rnacentral:rRNA from 1 species